GAUGAACGCUGGCGGCGUGCUUAACACAUGCAAGUCGAGCGAAGCAGUUAAGUUGAUUUCUUCGGAUUGAUUCUUAAUUGACUGAGCGGCGGACGGGUGAGUAACGCGUGGGUGACCUGCCCCAUACCGGGGGAUAACAGCUGGAAACGGCUGCUAAUACCGCAUAAGCGCACAGAGCUGCAUGGCUCAGUGUGAAAAACUCCGGUGGUAUGGGAUGGGCCCGCGUCUGAUUAGGCAGUUGGCGGGGUAACGGCCCACCAAACCGACGAUCAGUAGCCGGCCUGAGAGGGCGACCGGCCACAUUGGGACUGAGACACGGCCCAAACUCCUACGGGAGGCAGCAGUGGGGAAUAUUGCACAAUGGGGGAAACCCUGAUGCAGCGACGCCGCGUGAGCGAAGAAGUAUUUCGGUAUGUAAAGCUCUAUCAGCAGGGAAGAUAAUGACGGUACCUGACUAAGAAG
rnacentral:rRNA from 1 species